UACGAAGGGGGCUAGCGUUGCUCGGAAUGACUGGGCGUAAAGGGCUCGUAGGCGGCCAACUAAGUCGGAUGUGAAAUCCCCAGGCUUAACCUGGGAAUUGCAUCCGAUACUGGAUGGCUUGAAUCCGGGAGAGGGAUGCGGAAUUCCAGGUGUAGCGGUGAAAUGCGUAGAUAUCUGGAGGAACACCGGUGGCGAAGGCGGCAUCCUGGACCGGCAUUGACGCUGAGGAGCGAAAGCCAGGGGAGCAAACGGG
rnacentral:rRNA from 1 species